rnacentral:snRNA from 1 species
AUACUUAUCAGGCAGGGAAGCUAUUUCCAAUGAUCAAGCAGGUGGGGCUCCCAGGCUGAGGCUCAUCCAUUGCAUUCUGGUUGUGAUUUCCCUAAAUGUGGGACGCUUGACUGCAUAAUUUGUAGUAAUGUGGACUGUUCCUGU